GUGCCAGCCACCGCGGUAAUACGGAGGAGGCAAGCGUUAUCCGUAAUUAUUGGGCGUAAAGCGUCCGCAGGUGGCAAUUCAAUUCUGCUGUCAAAGCACGGGGCUUAACUCCGUUAAGGCAGUGGAAACUGAAUAGCUAGAGUUCCGUAGGGGUAGAGGGAAUUCCCGGUGUAGCGGUGAAAUGCGUAGAGAUCGGGAAGAACAUCGGUGGCGAAAGCGCUCUACUGGACGGCAACUGACACUCAGGGACGAAAGCUAGGGGAGCGAACGGGAUUAGAUACCCCGGUAGUCC
rnacentral:rRNA from 1 species